AGUGAACGCUGGCGGUAGGCCUAACACAUGCAAGUCGAACGGCAGCACAGUAAGAGCUUGCUCUUACGGGUGGCGAGUGGCGGACGGGUGAGGAAUACAUCGGAAUCUACUUUUUCGUGGGGGAUAACGUAGGGAAACUUACGCUAAUACCGCAUACGACCUACGGGUGAAAGCAGGGGAUCUUCGGACCUUGCGCGAUUGAAUGAGCCGAUGUCGGAUUAGCUAGUUGGCGGGGUAAAGGCCCACCAAGGCGACGAUCCGUAGCUGGUCUGAGAGGAUGAUCAGCCACACUGGAACUGAGACACGGUCCAGACUCCUACGGGAGGCAGCAGUGGGGAAUAUUGGACAAUGGGCGCAGGCCUGAUCCAGCCAUACCGCGUGGGUGAAGAAGGCCUUCGGGUUGUAAAGCCCUUUUGUUGGGAAAGAAAAGCAGCAGGUUAAUACCCCGCUGUUCUGACGGUACCCAAAGAAUAGGCACCGGCUAACUUCG
rnacentral:rRNA from 1 species